rnacentral:lncRNA from 1 species
GUGAGGGGCUGGGCGAAAGGAGGGAGGGGAGAGGAUGGGGGAACGCGCGCCCCAAGAGCGAAAGCAAACAGCUAGCUCUAGAGGCGCUGCGGCAGUUCAGGCUUCCCAACAGGUUAGCUAGCCCAGGAUCCACCCGGUAUUUCGCAGGAAGGGGGGGGGGUAUGAGAUAGCUUGUGGAGGGGAGAUCCUUCCUGGAGGACAGAGGGAGGGAGAGAGAGAG